GGGCCGGUAGCUCAGGUGGUUAGAGCGCACGCCUGAUAAGCGUGAGGUCGGAGGUUCAACUCCUCCGGCCCACCA
rnacentral:tRNA from 1 species